GAGGAAUACCGGUGGCGAAGGCGGCCCCCUGGACGAAGACUGACGCUCAGGUGCGAAAGCGUGGGGAGCAAACAGGAUUAGAUACCCUGGUAGUCCACGCCGUAAACGAUGUCGACUUGGAGGUUGUGCCCUUGAGGCGUGGCUUCCGGAGCUAACGCGUUAAGUCGACCGCCUGGGGAGUACGGCCGCAAGGUUAAAACUCAAAUGAAUUGACGGGGGCCCGCACAAGCGGUGGAGCAUGUGGUUUAAUUCGAUGCAACGCGAAGAACCUUACCUGGUCUUGACAUCCACGGAAGUUUUCAGAGAUGAGAAUGUGCCUUCGGGAACCGUGAGACAGGUGCUGCAUGGCUGUCGUCAGCUCGUGUUGUGAAAUGUUGGGUUAAGUCCCGCAACGAGCGCAACCCUUAUCCUUUGUUGCCAGCGGUCCGGCCGGGAACUCAAAGGAGACUGCCAGUGAUAAACUGGAGGAAGGUGGGGAUGACGUCAAGUCAUCAUGGCCCUUACGACCAGGGCUACACACGUGCUACAAUGGCGCAUACAAAGAGAAGCGACCUCGCGAGAGCAAGCGGACCUCAUAAAGUGCGUCGUAGUCCGGAUUGGAGUCUGCAACUCGACUCCAUGAAGUCGGAAUCGCUAGUAAUCGUGGAUCAGAAUGCCACGGUGAAUACGUUCCCGGGCCUUGUACACACCGCCCGUCACACCAUGGGAGUGGGUUGCAAAAGAAGUAGGUAGCUUAACCUUCGGGAGGGCGCUUACCACUUUGUGAUUCAUGACUGGGGUGAAGUCGUAACAAGGUAACCGUAGGGGAACCUGCGGUUGGAUCACCUCCUUACCUUAAAGAAGC
rnacentral:rRNA from 1 species